AUGAGAGUUUGAUCCUGGCUCAGGACGAACGCUGGCGGCGUGCCUAAUACAUGCAAGUAGAACGCUGAUGUUUGGUGUUUACACUAGACUGAUGAGUUGCGAACGGGUGAGUAACGCGUAGGUAACCUGCCUCAUAGCGGGGGAUAACUAUUGGAAACGAUAGCUAAUACCGCAUAAGAGUGAUUAACACAUGUUAGUUAUUUAAAAGGAGCAAUUGCUUCACUGUGAGAUGGACCUGCGUUGUAUUAGCUAGUUGGUGAGGUAAAGGCUCACCAAGGCGACGAUACAUAGCCGACCUGAGAGGGUGAUCGGCCACACUGGGACUGAGACACGGCCCAGACUCCUACGGGAGGCAGCAGUAGGGAAUCUUCGGCAAUGGACGGAAGUCUGACCGAGCAACGCCGCGUGAGUGAAGAAGGUUUUCGGAUCGUAAAGCUCUGUUGUUAGAGAAGAACGUUGGUAGGAGUGGAAAAUCUACCAAGUGACGGUAACUAACCAGAAAGGGACGGCUAACUACGUGCCAGCAGCCGCGGUAAUACUAGGUCCCGAGCGUUGUCCGGAUUUAUUGGGCGUAAAGCGAGCGCAGGCGGUUCUUUAAGUCUGAAGUUAAAGGCAGUGGC
rnacentral:rRNA from 1 species